rnacentral:rRNA from 1 species
UUCCUACGGGGGGCAGCAGUCGGGAAUAUUGCACAAUGGAGGAAACUCUGAUGCAGUGACGCCGCGUGCAGGAAGAAGGUUUUCGGAUUGUAAACUGCUUUAGAUGGGGAAGAAAAAAGACUGUACCCAUAGAAUAAGCUCCGGCUAACUACGUGCCAGCAGCCGCGGUAAUACGUAGGGGGCAAGCGUUAUCCGGAAUUAUUGGGCGUAAAGAGUGCGUAGGUGGUUACUUAAGCGCGGGGUUUAAGGCAAUGGCUCAACCAUUGUUCGCCCUGCGAACUGGGUUACUUGAGUGCAGGAGAGGA